rnacentral:rRNA from 1 species
AGCGAACGCUGGCGGCAGGCUUAACACAUGCAAGUCGAGCGGGCGUAGCAAUACGUCAGCGGCAGACGGGUGAGUAACGCGUGGGAACGUACCUUUUGGUUCGGAACAACACAGGGAAACUUGUGCUAAUACCGGAUAAGCCCUUACGGGGAGAGAUUUAUCGCCGAAAGAUCGGCCCGCGUCUGAUUAGCUAGUUGGUGAGGUAAUGGCUCACCAAGGCGACGAUCAGUAGCUGGUCUGAGAGGAUGAUCAGCCACAUUGGGACUGAGACACGGCCCAAACUCCUACGGGAGGCAGCAGUGGGGAAUAUUGGACAAUGGGGGCAACCCUGAUCCAGCCAUGCCGCGUGAGUGAUGAAGGCCCUAGGGUUGUAAAGCUCUUUUGUGCGGGAAGAUAAUGACGGUACCGCAAGAAUAAGCCCCGGCUAACUUCGUGCCAGCAGCCGCCGUAACAC